AUUUUAGAUAAGUUUAUUUUUAAGUACACUUAAUCCUCAUUAUCUGCAGUUUUUGUAUUUGUGAAUUCACCUACUUGGUAAAAUUCAUUUUUAACUUUCAAAUCAAUACUCAUGGUGCUUUUGAGACAAUUUGAGGACAUGUGCAAAGUGGCAAAAAACUUUCAGUCAGCCGACAUGUAUACAUCCAGCUGAAGUUGAACAGAGUUAUGCUCUCUCUUCUUGUUUCAGCUUUCAUACAGAGAUGGCCAGAGCAUAGAUAGGGUGGGGACAAUGCAAUGCAAUGUAAGAAGCCUCAGCUCUGGUGACAGGUGUAUAAGGCUUGAAUUCCAGCAUUGGCAUCGGUUAACUCAAAUCUACUGGGAGAAGCUGACUAUAAGAAGAGCAUCUGAUAGAUAUUCCAGCUCAGCUGCAUACAGAGACUUCAUCAGCUCAUGUCAUGCCCAGAGUUAGCCUUUCAGUUCCAAGGCUAUUUUUCCCAUUUCCUUAUUCACUGUGCUCCCUGACUUCAAGUUCAAUGCCAGGAUUGUGGAAUCAGGUCAUUUGAAUAAAACAUAAAAAGUAUUAUUAGGUACAGAGCUAAAUGUAGGUCAUAUUUGAGAACAAAUAAUAUUAUAUUUAAUCAUCUAAAAAAAGCUAAGAGGAAUUCUGUUAUCAAGGAAAUAUUUGUUUUCUUUGACUUAAAUGCUGCUUAUAGUCCUAAUAUUCCAUAGUUUCUUUGAAGCUAAUAUUUUGCUUUUAAUUAUGAAAAUCAGUUAGGAAUAUUGAGGUACACAGAUAAAAAUGGUAUUAGUAUAAACAUGCAAUUUAUAAAAUAGGAAAUCAAUGAUGCUAAUAAGCAUAAGAUAUACUCAAAAUUAUUAGUACUCACAAAAAUAAAAAUUAAAAAACACAGUAAGCUACUAUUUAUAUCUAUUUGGCUAAAAGAAUCAGAAAGCUGGAUAUUGCCUUACGCUAGCAGUGAUGUUGGUAUAUAGAAAUUCUGACACAUUUCUGAAGACAAUAUAGACUAAUAUAGCCAUUGUGAAGAGCAACCUGUAAAGUCAUUUAAAUGUGCAUAUAAUUUAUGAUUAGGGUAAACAUACAACUUUGAGAUUGAAAGAGGAAGCUAUUUAUAUUUACUCUGAGACAAUAAACUUAUUUCAAGCCUGUUCCAAGCAAGGUAACUGUAUAUGUCAACUUAUUUAUGACAGUAAUUUUGUUCUUAGGAACCGUAUUCCAAAGAAUUUUACUCAAAGAUCUAUAGAUGUAGGCAUACAAGAAUCAAUAUGGAAGAGUAGAAAAAUGAAUAUUUUUGUUAAUACUCAAACACUAACUGAAAUAAAACUAACUAAUUAAUUUAUAUUGAUACUCCCAGUUAUGGCAAUACAAUAGUAUAACUUUUUAUUAGUUCUUAUUUGAUUAUCGUGGGAUUUAAUAUUUUAAUAAAUUAAAUGGCUGUUAUUACUAAUUUCUUUUUGGUAAUUUUCUCUUUUUUCACUUGGUAUCUUGGUG
rnacentral:lncRNA from 10 species